UUUAAAGGUUUCAACAAGUUGUAGCGUAACUUCAGGCAGAGCAGAGAACGCUUGAGAAGCUUCAGCUUAGCAUUGAAGAAAAAAAUGGCAUGUUGAGAUUCUGGCCUGGAAGGGCUGAAUCCACGGGCAGCAGGGCGGCCACAACGACUGCUGCCUUUCUGAAUAUGAGGGCGUGAGGAAGGGUUGGCCUGAUGGCCGACACCCUCGGCACUCAGCGCAGUCAGCAGUGGCCUCGGCUACGGAAGGAAUCUGAGCCCCUGCUGUUAGUUGGCAGCUGCGGGGCUGAGAGCAUGGGGAGAUGUUAAUGAUGAUGGGCUUCUGCACACAGGAUUAUUAUUUUUUUCUUUCUGGCUUGCAGCUUAAUUUUUUUUCCCACCAUGGGCUUUCCAGCCCCGUUGUUCCACUAGUCUGAAGAAUGUGGUAGUUUUAUAAUGAACGCUCCCCCCACCCACCCCACAGCCCCGAGACCUAUUCAAAGCUGCCAAAUUCAGAUUACUUGUGACCUAAAUGGGAUAUAAAUCCCAUUCCCCAGACAGAAGGAGUUGUUGCAACAACCCACAAACCAAAACUAGAACAGGCACAAUUCCCUGCCAAAUUGAACCCCUUCGCAGUUCCACUGAAGACAGAAGUAACACCGGCAGAAAUUUGCUGAAUGCAGACAACUGGAGGGUGCUUAAUUUGCAGAAAUGUGUGAGAAUGGCAAGUAUACGUCUGCUGUGUUUUACGUCAAAUGUUAAUUGACUUUUGCAUAUACGGUUCUGGUUCUGGUGGCUGGUUCUGUCUGUGUGAGACUUACUGUAACAGCUUCCUUUUCCCGUUUUUGUUCAACUUGUGAAGUUUUCAAACUGCAUCUGGUAGGGCUUCCUCUUUUGUGUGUGUGGUUGCUUGAAGCUUCUGCUCAUUUCGGUAGCGCGCACGCCCUGUGCCGUGGCUGAAGCAGUGCUUCAGGCAGCGGGCUGACUAGCACGAGGACAUGCGUGAUGCAGGAUUCACCCUUCUGCGAUCCUGACCCCUUCCCAGCUCUCUGAUGGCUCCUGGCCAUCCCCUGCAGCUCCAGGGUGGAAGCAUAAAUGUGUGCAGUACCUCUAACGCCACGGGAGCCGAGCUGAUCUGCUUUAUGAGGACGUUACCAGAGCCUGCAAGUGGAGCUUGGCAGAGUGACUGUAAAGUGCAAACGGUUGCCACCGACCCGCCGUGGGUUUUAGCAAAUGUGAGUAUCCACCCGCAGUGGAAAGGCGUGAGGCUGCUCCAUGGCAGAAUUUUAGAUUGUUUUACAGACUGCAAGUCCUUUCUGUGCCGUCAAACACUUUUAUUUUGCCACUGCGCAGACUUUUAACGUCCACCUCUCAACCAGCUGUUCCUACAAGCCUAACCUCAGCUCCCCUCUUGUUCACGCUCUGCAGCCUGUCCCUGGAGCCAGCACUUAGCUGCAGCACCACGCAGGAUGCCCUUAACCGUGAAGGGCAGGGGACAGGAGACCCAGGUAACUGUAAAGUAAUACACGUACUACUUUGGGGUAGAUGCAGUGUCCUAGAUUUCUGGAACGUGGACAUAGUAGGGGAAGCCACAUCAGUGGAAACAAGUGCUUCAUUUUGUGAUACUGAAUUUAUUUUUGGUGCACUGUGGCUUUUCCAGCCUGAAAGAAGGAAAAGUGAUGUUCUCCAAAAGGGUGCGGUCUCCCCCAGAUCUAACCCAGCUUCACACGAAGCAAGCGCACGUGGUCUUAAGCAAGUCAAUUAGAAUUGGAGCUCAUGACUUUGCCACAGAGUCUCUAUAACACUGUUUGGUUUCAACUGUAAAGCUUUGCUAAAUCAUCACACACAACCACAGGAUGGGGGCCUGCAUCUCUGUGUGGACGUACCCUACUAGCAUCAAAAAUAAGUGGAGUCAGCUCUUCCCAGACUUUAUUAAAAUUAAUUUGAUUGCCAGUGUUUGCAAGGUCUGAGUUCUUAAACUGUUACCGGUUGAGGGGAAAAAAGCCCAGAUUAUUGUAAACAAGCAAAAUAUAUACUGAACAAUUUUGUGUCCAAGGUAUGUACAGAGGAAUUAACAAGAAUAAUUGUUCUGCAGAUCAAGUUACAGCAUUGUAAAUCCACGCUUGUGCAAGGCAGAAACCCGCACGAGAAGUCUGUUCUGAUGCUAUGCAGCAAGUGGAAGCGUCCAUGCCCAGUCCUGUGGAGACACUGUGGUUUUCUUUGGAACCAGCUUUGCUCCUGUCAGUACACGGUGCACCAGUUGCUGCCAUCGCUGGGCAUCAGCCCUCCGGUGAUGAGGAGAA